rnacentral:tRNA from 1 species
GCCGGGAUAGCUCAGUUGGUAGAGCAGAGGACUGAAAAUCCUCGUGUCCCCNNGUUCAA